rnacentral:rRNA from 1 species
GAGCGGCAAGCGUCAGCAAUGGCGCUAGAGCGGCGGACUGGUGAGUAACGNGUGGGUGACCGACCCUGGGGAUGGGGACAGCCGCUGGAAACAGCGGGUAAUACCGAAUACGCUUGUCUGGCUGUGGCCGGAUGAGGAAAGGGGCUUUGGCCCCGCCCCGGGACGGGCCCGCGUCCUAUUAGGUAGUUGGCGGGGUAAGAGCCCACCAAGCCCGAGAUAGGUAGCCGGCCUGAGAGGGCGAACGGCCACACUGGGACUGAGAUACGGCCCAGACUCCUACGGGAGGCAGCAGCUAAGAAUAUUCCGCAAUGGACGGAAGCCUGACGGAGCGACGCCGCGUGGGCGAGGAAGGCCGAAAGGUUGUAAAGCCCUUUUGUCGCUGAAGAAUAAGGGGGGCAGGGAAUGGCCGCCUGAUGACGUUAG